GUUAAGAUGGAUGUCUAGUAUUAUGAUAAUGGAUAAAAUUAGGAUUAACCACAUCCACCAAAGAGUACUUGUAGCACAUAUUAGAGAUAAAAUGAUAACAUUGAUUAAGAUGAUUUGGUCAUGUGCAACAUAGAGAAUCAAUUGCUCCUAUACAGAAAUUUGAUAAAUUAGUGGUGCAAGGAGUGAGGAGGAAAAGGGGGAGACAUAAAAUGAGAGAAAUAGUUUCAAAAGAUUUACAAUCCUUUAAUAUUAAAGUAGAAUUAAUCUCAAAUGGAGUUGAAUGGCAAAAAAAAUUCAUAUAGUCGACCCCAAUUAAUUUCGGAUUAAAACUUAGUUGUUGUUCUAUAAUGCUUCUCAUUAUACUAGUUGGAAUUUCUGCUCUCUUAGUACUAGGAGACAGAAAAAAAAAAUUCAAUAAAUUCAGGAAAACUAGCCAGACAUGUGGUUUAGGUAGACAUAUCUCUCCUCCAACUCAACUAAGGGUGUUAGCUAGUGUUAUCCAUAAAAUACGCGAGGCAUGUAAUAAAAGGUUUUGAUACAAUACGACUAUAUAAUUGAUACUAUGCAUUUUGUUUCUGCUUGUGAAAGUUGAAAUGUACCUCCAAUCCAGGGACGGAGGGACAUAGAGAAUCAAUUA
rnacentral:misc_RNA from 1 species